ACGGUAGCUAAUACCGCAUGACCUCGCAAGAGCAAAGUGGGGGACCUUCGGGCCUCACGCCAUCGGAUGUGCCCAGAUGGGAUUAGCUAGUAGGUGGGGUAAUGGCUCACCUAGGCGACGAUCCCUAGCUGGUCUGAGAGGAUGACCAGCCACACUGGAACUGAGACACGGUCCAGACUCCUACGGGAGGCAGCAGUGGGGAAUAUUGCACAAUGGGCGCAAGCCUGAUGCAGCCAUGCCGCGUGUGUGAAGAAGGCCUUAGGGUUGUAAAGCACUUUCAGCGAGGAGGAAGGGUUCAGUGUUAAUAGCACUGCUCAUUGACGUUACUCGCAGAAGAAGCACCGGCUAACUCCGUGCCAGCAGCCGCGGUAAUACGGAGGGUGCAAGCGUUAAUCGGAAUUACUGGGCGUAAAGCGCACGCAGGCGGUUUGUUAAGUCAGAUGUGAAAUCYCCGAGCUUAACUUGGGAACUGCAUUUGAAAACUGGCAAGCUAGAGUCUUGUAGAGGGGGGUAGAAUUCCAGGUGUAGCGGUGAAAUGCGUAUAGAUCUGGAGGAAUACCGGUGGCGAAGGCGGCCCCC
rnacentral:rRNA from 1 species